GAUGAACGCUAGCGGCAGGCCUAACACAUGCAAGUCGAACGGUAACAUGAGUAGCAAUACUUGAUGACGAGUGGCGCACGGGUGCGUAACGCGUAUGCAACUUACCUCUAACUGGAGAAUAGCCUUCCGAAAGGAAGAAUAAUACUCCAUAAUAUUACGAUGUGGCAUCACAUUGUUCUUAAAGCUUCGGCGGUUAGAGAUGGGCAUGCGUCUGAUUAGCUUGUUGGUGAGGUAACGGUUCACCAAGGCAACGAUCAGUAGGGGGCCUGAGAGGGUUAUCCCCCACACUGGUACUGAGACACGGACCAGACUCCUACGGGAGGCAGCAGUGAGGAAUAUUGGUCAAUGGACGAAAGUCUGAACCAGCCAUGCCGCGUGCAGGAUGAAUGCCCUAUGGGUUGUAAACUGCUUUUAUAUAGGAAUAAACCCCUUUAGUGUAAAGGGCUGAAGGUACUAUAAGAAUAAGGACCGGCUAACUCCGUGCCAGCAG
rnacentral:rRNA from 1 species